rnacentral:rRNA from 1 species
UACAGAGGGUGCGAGCGUUGUCCGGAAUCACUGGGCGUAAAGGGCGCGUAGGCGGUCUGCUAAGCGUGUGGUGAAAGCUCGGGGCUCAACCCCGAGUCGGCCAUGCGAACUGGUGGACUGGAGCAUGUCAGAGGCAGGCGGAAUUCCGGGUGUAGCGGUGGAAUGCGUAGAGAUCCGGAAGAACACCGGUGGCGAAGGCGGCCUGCUGGGACAUUGCUGACGCUGAGGCGCGAAAGCGUGGGGAGCGAACGGG